GGGUUGUGAGGUUAAGCGACUAAGCGUACACGGUGGAUGCCCUGGCAGUCAGAGGCGAUGAAGGACGUGCUAAUCUGCGAUAAGCGUCGGUAAGGUGAUAUGAACCGUUAUAACCGGCGAUUUCCGAAUGGGGAAACCCAGUGUGAUUCGUCACACUAUCAUUAACUGAAUCCAUAGGUUAAUGAGGCGAACCGGGGGAACUGAAACAUCUAAGUACCCCGAGGAAAAGAAAUCAACCGAGAUUCCCCCAGUAGCGGCGAGCGAACGGGGAGCAGCCCAGAGCCUGAAUCAGUGUGUGUGUUAGUGGAAGCGUCUGGAAAGGCGCGCGAUACAGGGUGACAGCCCCGUACACAAAAAUGCACAUGCUGUGAGCUCGAUGAGUAGGGCGGGACACGUGGUAUCCUGUCUGAAUAUGGGGGGACCAUCCUCCAAGGCUAAAUACUCCUGACUGACCGAUAGUGAACCAGUACCGUGAGGGAAAGGCGAAAAGAACCCCGGCGAGGGGAGUGAAAAAGAACCUGAAACCGUGUACGUACAAGCAGUGGGAGCCUCUUAAUGGGGUGACUGCGUACCUUUUGUAUAAUGGGUCAGCGACUUAUAUUCUGUAGCAAGGUUAACCGAAUAGGGGAGCCGAAGGGAAACCGAGUCUUAACUGGGCGUUAAGUUGCAGGGUAUAGACCCGAAACCCGGUGAUCUAGCCAUGGGCAGGUUGAAGGUUGGGUAACACUAACUGGAGGACCGAACCGACUAAUGUUGAAAAAUUAGCGGAUGACUUGUGGCUGGGGGUGAAAGGCCAAUCAAACCGGGAGAUAGCUGGUUCUCCCCGAAAGCUAUUUAGGUAGCGCCUCGUGAAUUCAUCUCCGGGGGUAGAGCACUGUUUCGGCAAGGGGGUCAUCCCGACUUACCAACCCGAUGCAAACUGCGAAUACCGGAGAAUGUUAUCACGGGAGACACACGGCGGGUGCUAACGUCCGUCGUGAAGAGGGAAACAACCCAGACCGCCAGCUAAGGUCCCAAAGUCAUGGUUAAGUGGGAAACGAUGUGGGAAGGCCCAGACAGCCAGGAUGUUGGCUUAGAAGCAGCCAUCAUUUAAAGAAAGCGUAAUAGCUCACUGGUCGAGUCGGCCUGCGCGGAAGAUGUAACGGGGCUAAACCAUGCACCGAAGCUGCGGCAGCGACACUAUGUGUUGUUGGGUAGGGGAGCGUUCUGUAAGCCUGCGAAGGUGUACUGUGAGGUAUGCUGGAGGUAUCAGAAGUGCGAAUGCUGACAUAAGUAACGAUAAAGCGGGUGAAAAGCCCGCUCGCCGGAAGACCAAGGGUUCCUGUCCAACGUUAAUCGGGGCAGGGUGAGUCGACCCCUAAGGCGAGGCCGAAAGGCGUAGUCGAUGGGAAACAGGUUAAUAUUCCUGUACUUGGUGUUACUGCGAAGGGGGGACGGAGAAGGCUAUGUUGGCCGGGCGACGGUUGUCCCGGUUUAAGCGUGUAGGCUGGUUUUCCAGGCAAAUCCGGAAAAUCAAGGCUGAGGCGUGAUGACGAGGCACUACGGUGCUGAAGCAACAAAUGCCCUGCUUCCAGGAAAAGCCUCUAAGCAUCAGGUAACAUCAAAUCGUACCCCAAACCGACACAGGUGGUCAGGUAGAGAAUACCAAGGCGCUUGAGAGAACUCGGGUGAAGGAACUAGGCAAAAUGGUGCCGUAACUUCGGGAGAAGGCACGCUGAUANGCGGAUGGAGCUGAAAUCAGUCGAAGAUACCAGCUGGCUGCAACUGUUUAUUAAAAACACAGCACUGUGCAAACACGAAAGUGGACGUAUACGGUGUGACGCCUGCCCGGUGCCGGAAGGUUAAUUGAUGGGGUUAGCGCAAGCGAAGCUCUUGAUCGAAGCCCCGGUAAACGGCGGCCGUAACUAUAACGGUCCUAAGGUAGCGAAAUUCCUUGUCGGGUAAGUUCCGACCUGCACGAAUGGCGUAAUGAUGGCCAGGCUGUCUCCACCCGAGACUCAGUGAAAUUGAACUCGCUGUGAAGAUGCAGUGUACCCGCGGCAAGACGGAAAGACCCCGUGAACCUUUACUAUAGCUUGACACUGAACAUUGAGCCUUGAUGUGUAGGAUAGGUGGGAGGCUUUGAAGUGUGGACGCCAGUCUGCAUGGAGCCGACCUUGAAAUACCACCCUUUAAUGUUUGAUGUUCUAACGUUGGCCCCUGAUCGGGGUUGCGGACAGUGUCUGGUGGGUAGUUUGACUGGGGCGGUCUCCUCCUAAAGAGUAACGGAGGAGCACGAAGGUUGGCUAAUCCUGGUCGGACAUCAGGAGGUUAGUGCAAUGGCAUAAGCCAGCUUGACUGCGAGCGUGACGGCGCGAGCAGGUGCGAAAGCAGGUCAUAGUGAUCCGGUGGUUCUGAAUGGAAGGGCCAUCGCUCAACGGAUAAAAGGUACUCCGGGGAUAACAGGCUGAUACCGCCCAAGAGUUCAUAUCGACGGCGGUGUUUGGCACCUCGAUGUCGGCUCAUCACAUCCUGGGGCUGAAGUAGGUCCCAAGGGUAUGGCUGUUCGCCAUUUAAAGUGGUACGCGAGCUGGGUUUAGAACGUCGUGAGACAGUUCGGUCCCUAUCUGCCGUGGGCGCUGGAGAACUGAGGGGGGCUGCUCCUAGUACGAGAGGACCGGAGUGGACGCAUCACUGGUGUUCGGGUUGUCAUGCCAAUGGCACUGCCCGGUAGCUAAAUGCGGAAGAGAUAAGUGCUGAAAGCAUCUAAGCACGAAACUUGCCCCGAGAUGAGUUCUCCCUGACUCCCUGAGAGUCCUGAAGGAACGUUGAAGACGACGACGUUGAUAGGCCGGGUGUGUAAGCGCAGCGAUGCGUUGAGCUAACCGGUACUAAUGAACCGUGAGGCUUAACCUUACAACGCCGAAG
rnacentral:rRNA from 1 species